rnacentral:rRNA from 1 species
UACGUAGGGGGCAAGCGUUGUCCGGAAUCAUUGGGCGUAAAGCGCGUGUAGGCGGUUCGGUAAGUCUGCUGUGAAAGUCCAGGGCUCAACCCUGGGAUGCCGGUGGAUACUGUCGGACUAGAGUACGGAAGAGGCGAGUGGAAUUCCCGGUGUAGCGGUGAAAUGCGCAGAUAUCGGGAAGAACACCCGUGGCGAAGGCGGUUCUCUGGGACGGUACUGACGCUGAGACGCGAAAGCGUGGGGAGCGAAC